GCUUAACACAUGCAAGUCGAACGAUGAAGCCUUUCGGGGUGGAUUAGUGGCGAACGGGUGAGUAACACGUGGGCAAUCUGCCCUUCACUCUGGGACAAGCCCUGGAAACGGGGUCUAAUACCGGAUAAUACUCUGUUCCGCAUGGGACGGGGUUGAAAGCUCCGGCGGUGAAGGAUGAGCCCGCGGCCUAUCAGCUUGUUGGUGGGGUAAUGGCCUACCAAGGCGACGACGGGUAGCCGGCCUGAGAGGGCGACCGGCCACACUGGGACUGAGACACGGCCCAGACUCCUACGGGAGGCAGCAGUGGGGAAUAUUGCACAAUGGGCGAAAGCCUGAUGCAGCGACGCCGCGUGAGGGAUGACGGCCUUCGGGUUGUAAACCUCUUUCAGCAGGGAAGAAGCGAGAGUGACGGUACCUGCAGAAGAAGCGCCGGCUAACUACGUGCCAGCAGCCGCGGUAAUACGUAGGGCGCAAGCGUUGUCCGGAAUUAUUGGGCGUAAAGAGCUCGUAGGCGGCUUGUCACGUCGGAUGUGAAAGCCCGGGGCUUAACCCCGGGUCUGCAUUCGAUACGGGCUAGCUAGAGUGUGGUAGGGGAGAUCGGAAUUCCUGGUGUAGCGGUGAAAUGCGCAGAUAUCAGGAGGAACACCGGUGGCGAAGGCGGAUCUCUGGGCCAUUACUGACGCUGAGGAGCGAAAGCGUGGGGAGCGAACAGGAUUAGAUACCCUGGUAGUCCACGCCGUAAACGUUGGGAACUAGGUGUUGGCGACAUUCC
rnacentral:rRNA from 1 species